AUCAGUUAAGGUCUGGUUCUAGAACAUCCAGACUCACUUGUGUAUUCCAACUUCCACCCUGAAUCUGCAGGGGAGAUGUGACAUGAAAUGAAAUGAUUUGUGCUUGCAGGCAAACAGCAGUCUCCUCAGUUAUCAGAAAAGCAGUGAAGUCCCACACUGAGGGGAUCCCUGUACACAAAAGCAGAUAGUAAGUCUCUGCAGGAGACCCCAUGGCAGGUAGGAAAAGAUCCAGAAGCCUGCAAUCCUUACAUUUUUGGUAAAAGCAGCAAAUGUCUAUACGUUGUUGUUGAAUCUUCCUGCUCUUUAUCAAGUCCUCCAGCUACAAAUUUUCAGAUAGCAUCAAAAAUUAAAAGCUUACUGUGAAACCUAUGAAAACACAGUUCAGCCGGAACCACAAUGAACCUUUUCUGCUUCCCUUGGAUUCAUCUGAAUUUGGUGAGCUUAAGGCACUUUUGAACAAUUUUCCAAGGGAAGUUGACCGAGAUUCUUCCAGUCAUUGCACAAAAUGUGGUAAGAAUCUGAGAGUUACUUAAACUAAGAAUAGAUAAUAGGAAAAUAAUAUAUCACAAUAGAUGAGAUGCAGGUUAGAGCAAAGGUAUCACAUGUAUUUCCUAUUAAGUUACUGAAAUACCAAAUUAUAAAAUUAAAAGAGGCCCCAAAUACUUCUCUUCUGACAUGUUAAACCUGCAAGUAGUUGUACCAUAUAAAGUUGCCGAUUUUUACCUAUAGAAGAACUAUUUCACAUGGUUCAAUCUGAUACUAACACAUGAAUAUCUCUGGAAAGUGAUACAAUUUCCAGUAAUAUUCCAUGAAUUUUUGUAAUUUCCCACUUUUGCAGAAACAUAUUCAAUUUGUCUAAAGAAACAUUUAUAAUUUAGGCAAAUGUUUUAAAAUUAGGAAAUCUUACUUUACAAAGGGAACUUACCUAUUUUAACUUCAGCUUCAGGUGAAGUUAAAACAAAGUUGUAGAAACAGAAUAGUUUUA
rnacentral:lncRNA from 1 species